GUGCUCGCUUCAGCAGCACAUAUACUAAAAUUGAAACGAUACAGAAAAGAUUAGCAUGGCCCCUGUGUGAGGAUGCCUGGAAAAUUUGUGAAGCAUUCCAUAUUUUA